AAUAGUUGGUUAUGGUUCAGAAGACAGUGAAGAGUAUUGGAUAGUGAAGAAUUCAUGGGGAACAAGUUGGGGGAUAGAUGGAUAUUUCUAUCUAAAAAGAGACACUGAUUUACCAUAUGGUGUUUGUGCUGUCAAUGCCAUGGCUUCUUAUCCAACUAAACAAUCCUCUUCACCAUCCCCUUAUCCAUCGCCAAGUGUUCCUCCACCGCCACCUCCUUCAACUCCACCACCACCACCACCUCCAUCUCCUUCACCAAGUGAUUGUGGAGACUUUUCCUAUUGUUCAAGUGAUGAGACAUGCUGUUGCCUUUUUGAAUUCUAUGAUUAUUGCCUAAUAUACGGCUGCUGUGAAUAUGAAAAUGCUGUUUGCUGUACUGGAACUGAAUACUGCUGCCCUAGUGAUUACCCCAUUUGUGAUGUCCAAGAAGGACUCUGC
rnacentral:lncRNA from 1 species